ACUAAUGACAUGUAUAAGAUCAGUACUAUUGUACCCAACUCAGUUAUAAAUGAAGUAUCAUCUUCUGCUUACUCCUCUGUAUUAUAGCACAAUAGGCUGGGACAUAUAAAUUAUAAAAAGUUUUCUAGCAUGGAGAAAUUAGAAUUACUUCCAAAAUAUGAGGGUAACAAACCUGAGAAGUGUGAAAUUUGCGCACAAGUGAAGCUAACAAGGAAGCCCUUUCUAAGUGUCACAAGGAGCACCAACCUAUUAGAUCUGAUUCACUCAGAUAUGUGUGAUUUCAAGAGCUUCGUCACUCGAGACGACAUGAAGUACUUCAUCACCUUCAUUGAUAAUCAUCCCUGCUUCUGUCACGUGUACCUGCUAAAAUCUAAAGAUGAAGCCUUCAGCAAGUUUAUUGAGUUUCGAACUCAUGUGGAGAAGCAACUUGGACUUCAGGUGAAAAGACUCAGGAGCGACACAAUAAGAGAGUACCAAUCUAAGGAGUCGGAAGCAUACUUCAAGGAGCAUAAAAUCAUUGCUGAAACUACGUCUCUGUACUCUCUGUAAUCUAAUAGGAUUGCAGAAAGGAAGAAUCGCACAUUGACCGAGAUGGUGAAUUUCAUGCUAAUCACAUCUGGUCUACCGACCUGCUAUUGGGGAGAGGCUUUGCCGGUGGCAAACUGGAUUCUGGAUAGAGAACCCUAUUUCAAAACUAAUAGUACUCAUCAUCAGUUAUGGUUGGGACACUACCACAUAAUUGAUCUAUUACAACGGUUAAGGCGCAACGGUUUUAACUGUUGCGUUAGAUAUCUAUCGUAACGGUUUUCAGGGUGUAAUACAACAUUUAAUAUAAAAUGUUGCCAUAGAUCUAAUAAUUGUUUCUGGGCUUAAUAAUUGUUAGUGGUCUUUGAGCUUGAGUAAAGCCCAUUGUUUGACCGCACCGCUAAAACCGCACCAACUUAAAAAGGAAAUCUCUCUCUCUCUCUCUCAAAUCCCUAAAAUCGCCGCCGCCAUGGCCAAAACUCCCUAAAAUUGCCGUGGCCAAAACUCCCUCGUCGCCGUUUUCAGUCCUCGCCGGAGUCCAUUAACUUUCGUCGCCGUUUUCAUCUCGUUGGUUUCAUCGUCGAGCUACUCUCGUUGCUCCAGAAAUCGAGCCCAGUCCUCGCCGGAGCUUUCUAGGGUUCUGUACCAAAGUGUUAAAGAUGGAAAACAUUAUGCAGUAAAGGUUUUCCACAAAUCGCAUUUGUUGAAGUUGCGGGUGGCACCUUCAGAAACUGCCAUGACCGAUGUUCUUAGGGAGGUGUCCAUCAUGAAAAUGUUGGAUCAUCCCAAUAUAGUGAAACUCAUUGAGUUCUAGAGUAUGUAGCAGGCAAAAGGAUGUGUGACUUUGGUUCUUGUCCAAGAGAUGGUAUUGGAGAAAGUGAAUCAAGAAGAUAUCUACGAGAUGUUGUUUCUGGUCUCAUGUAUCUCCAUGC